UGCAGUCGACGGCAGCACGGGGGCAACCCUGGUGGCGAGUGGCGAACGGGUGAGUAAUGCAUCGGAACGUACCGUGUAAUGGGGGAUAACGAGUCGAAAGACUUGCUAAUACCGCAUACGCCCUGAGGGGGAAAGUGGGGGAUCGCAAGACCUCACGUUAUACGAGCGGCCGAUGUCGGAUUAGCUAGUUGGUAGGGUAAAGGCCUACCAAGGCGACGAUCCGUAGCUGGUCUGAGAGGACGACCAGCCACACUGGGACUGAGACACGGCCCAGACUCCUACGGGAGGCAGCAGUGGGGAAUUUUGGACAAUGGGGGCAACCCUGAUCCAGCCAUGCCGCGUGAGUGAAGAAGGCCUUCGGGUUGUAAAGCUCUUUCGGCCGGGACGAAAUCGCACCAUCUAAUAAGUGGUGUGGAUGACGGUACCGGAAUAAGAAGCACCGGCUAACUACGUGCCAGCAGCCGCGGUAAUACGUAGGGUGCGAGCGUUAAUCGGAAUUACUGGGCGUAAAGCGUGCGCAGGCGGUUUUGUAAGCCAGAUGUGAAAUCCCCGGGCUUAACCUGGGAACUGCAUUUGGGACUGCAAGGCUAGAGUGUGUCAGAGGGGAGUAGAAUUCCACGUGUAGCAGUGAAAUGCGUAGAGAUGUGGAGGAAUACCGAUGGCGAAGGCAGCCCCCUGGGAUAACACUGA
rnacentral:rRNA from 1 species